ensembl:snoRNA
GCAUGGGUUUGGAUUGAUGGCAGGUCCGGUCGGUCCCAUGCGCCUCUCAUCGUGUCCCAUGCCAAAGCAAACUGUAACCCCGAACCAUUGCAGGCUGACCCCGUGGGCUUCAGGCACUGAAGCGGGUUGCACAGUG